AUGUUGACUUCAGCUUCACUGCUGCUGCUGCUGCUGCUGGCUGCUUCCUCGUAUGUGUUCUGUGCUACUGAGCUCAUCCAGCCAGACUCAGUGCUCAUCAGACCAGCAGAGACUCUGAUCAUCACCUGUAGAGUUUCUGGAGCUUCUAUCACUGACAGCAGCAGUCACUGGGGAACAGCUUGGAUCCGACAACCGGCAGGAAAAGCUCUGGAAUGGAUCAAUGCUAUUUAUUAUACUGGGGGUGUAGCUGCUAAAGAUUCACUGAAAAACAAGUUCAGUAUCUCUCGAGACACAUCCAGCAACACAAUAACCCUACGAGGAGAGAAUCUGCAGACUGAAGACACAGCUGUGUAUUACUGCGCUCGAGACACACAGUAACAGAAGAAUCUACAGAGCUG